rnacentral:rRNA from 1 species
GGUUAAGCGACUAAGCGUACACGGUGGAUGCCCUGGCAGUCAGAGGCGAUGAAGGACGUGCUAAUCUGCGAUAAGCGCCGGUAAGGUGAUAUGAACCGUUAUAACCGGCGAUUUCCGAAUGGGGAAACCCAGUGUGACUCGUCACACUAUCAUUAACUGAAUCCAUAGGUUAAUGAGGCGAACCGGGGGAACUGAAACAUCUAAGUACCCCGAGGAAAAGAAAUCAACCGAGAUUCCCCCAGUAGCGGCGAGCGAACGGGGAGGAGCCCAGAGCCUGAAUCAGCAUGUGUGUUAGUGGAAGCGUCUGGAAAGGCGCGCGAUACAGGGUGACAGCCCCGUACACAAAAGCGCAUGUGCUGUGAGCUCGAUGAGUAGGGCGGGACACGUGGUAUCCUGUCUGAAUAUGGGGGGACCAUCCUCCAAGGCUAAAUACUCCUGACUGACCGAUAGUGAACCAGUACCGUGAGGGAAAGGCGAAAAGAACCCCGGCGAGGGGAGUGAAAAAGAACCUGAAACCGUGUACGUACAAGCAGUGGGAGCCCCACCACUAAGCCAGUGGUGAACUCCACAUACGCAUCCUUUGCUGAGGAUACGGUUAACGGAGCGAAAGCGACGUUCAACCUCAAAAGAAGCAGAGGGGGCUUAGUGGUGGGGUGACUGCGUACCUUUUGUAUAAUGGGUC